rnacentral:rRNA from 1 species
UACGUAGGGUGCGAGCGUUAAUCGGAAUUACUGGGCGUAAAGCGUGCGCAGGCGGUGAUGUAAGACCGAUGUGAAAUCCCGGGCUUAACCUGGGAACUGCAUUGGUGACUGCAUUGCUGGAGUAUGGCAGAGGGGGUGGAAUUCCACGUGUAGCAGUGAAAUGCGUAGAGAUGUGGAGGAACACCGAUGGCGAAGGCAGCCCCUGGGCCAAUACUGACGCUCAUGCACGAAAGCGUGGGGAGCAAACAGG